rnacentral:rRNA from 1 species
UACGGGGGGAGCAAGCGUUGUUCGGAUUUACUGGGCGUAAAGGGCGCGUAGGCGGUCGUGACAAGUCACUUGUGAAAUCUCCGGGCUUAACUCGGAACGGUCAAGUGAUACUGUCGGACUAGAGUACAGAAGGGGCAACUGGAAUUCUCGGUGUAGCGGUGAAAUGCGUAGAUAUCUGGAGGAACACCGGUGGCGAAGGCGGCAUCCUGGACCAACACUGACGCUGAGUGAGCGAAAGCCAGGGGAGCAAACGGAGUAGAAUCCAUGA